GUAAACCUACGGGAGGCAGCAGUGAGGGAUAUUGGUCAAUGGGGGAAACCCUGAACCAGCAACGCCGCGUGAGGGAAGACGGUUUUCGGAUUGUAAACCUCUGUCCUCUGUGAAGAUAAUGACGGUAGCAGAGGAGGAAGCUCCGGCUAACUACGUGCCAGCAGCCGCGGUAAUACGUAGGGAGCGAGCGUUGUCCGGAUUUACUGGGUGUAAUGGGGGCGUAGGCGGGUAAGCCAGUCAGCAGUGAAAUCCAUGGGCUUAACCCCUGAACAGCUUUUGAAACUGUUUA
rnacentral:rRNA from 1 species